AGCAGCCGCGGUAAUUCCAGCUCCAAUAGCGUAUAUUAAAGUUGUUGCAGUUAAAAAGCUCGUAGUUGAAUUUCGGGAUCAUCAGGUUGGUCGUGCCUCUGGUAUGUACUUUCCUCGAUGGUUCCUCCUUCUUGAAGAACCGUAAUGCCAUUAAUUUGGUGUUGCGGGGAAACAGGACUGUUACUUUGAAAAAAUUAGAGUGUUUAAAGCAGGCAAUCGCUUGAAUACAUUAGCAUGGAAUAAUGAAAUAGGACGUUCGAUCCUAUUUUGUUGGUUUCUAGGAUUGACGUAAUGAUUAAUAGGGAUAGUUGGGGGCAUUAGUAUUCAAUUGUCAGAGGUGAAAUUCUUGGAUUUAUUGAAGACUAACUACUGCGAAAGCAUUUGCCAAGGAUGUUUUCAUUAAUCAAGAACGAAAGUUAGGGGAUCGAAGACGAUCAGAUAC
rnacentral:rRNA from 1 species